rnacentral:rRNA from 1 species
CCAGACUCCUACGGGAGGCAGCAGUGGGGGAUAUUGCACAAUGGGGGGAACCCUGAUGCAGCGACGCCGCGUGAGGGAAGACGGCCUUCGGGUUGUAAACCUCUGUCGCAGGGGACGAAGGAGAUGACGGUACCUGACUAAGAAGCCCCGGCUAACUACGUGCCAGCAGCCGCGGUAAUACGUAGGGGGCAAGCGUUAUCCGGAUUUACUGGGUGUAAAGGGAGCGUAGACGGCAUGGCAAGUCAGAUGUGAAAGCCCGGGGCUCAACCCCGGGACUGCAUUUGAAACUGUCAGGCUGGAGUGCAGGAGAGGUAAGUGGAAUUCCUAGUGUAGCGGUGAAAUGCGUAGAUAUUAGGAGGAACACCAGUGGCGAAGGCGGUCUGCUGGACAGCAACUGACGCUGAGGCGCGAAAGCGUGGGGAGCAAACAGGAUUAGAUACCCCUGUA